CCUACGGGAGGCAGCAGUGGGGAAUAUUGCACAAUGGGGGAAACCCUGAUGCAGCGACGCCGCGUGAGUGAAGAAGUAUUUCGGUAUGUAAAGCUCUAUCAGCAGGGAAGAAAAUGACGGUACCUGACUAAGAAGCCCCGGCUAACUACGUGCCAGCAGCCGCGGUAAUACGUAGGGGGCAAGCGUUAUCCGGAUUUACUGGGUGUAAAGGGAGCGUAGACGGCAGCACAAGCCUGGAGUGAAAGGCCGGGGCUUAACCCCGGGACUGCUUUGGAAACUGUGCAGCUAGAGUGCAGGAGAGGUAAGUGGAAUUCCUAGUGUAGCGGUGAAAUGCGUAGAUAUUAGGAGGAACACCAGUGGCGAAGGCGGCUUACUGGACUGUAACUGACGUUGAGGCUCGAAAGCGUGGGGAGCAAACAGGAUUAGAUACCCGUGUAGUC
rnacentral:rRNA from 1 species